CACACCCUGCCUUGUGCGAAACAUUGCAGUCUAUAUGUAACCCAACACACAUUAAUAGGGAGCCUUGCUCCGGUGGCGGAUUGCAGACCUCCCGCUCGGUUUUUGAGCGGACGAAGGGAGCGUGAAAGCAUCGGGCGGCACCCACCUGCUGAAAGAGCAGGUUACAAUCGGCUGCAUACGGCUUGGCGGGGCUUAU
rnacentral:other from 1 species